CACUUCCGCUUUCCUCUCUUCAACCACCAAUCAGAGAGGAAAAUGUGGCACCACUUCGACCAAUGAGAAUGGAGCGUAAACAGGAAGAGGAGGGCGCCGUCUACACAGAAAAAAAUGCAAGUGCGGUCCAAACAUGAACAAGAAGUGGGGCCCUUUGAAACAAAAUUGUGGAACGGAACUUACGAAAGUCUUUCUAAAUUCAUGUAAUAUCUGUUGCAUUGCCUUGAGGAUAAACCCACACGCACAUACUGAUUUUUAGUAUUUACAUCUUAGUCUUGUUUUUAAAAUUUGAGCAACA